rnacentral:rRNA from 1 species
AUUGAACGCUGGCGGCAGGCUUAACACAUGCAAGUCGAGCGGAGAUGAGGUGCUUGCACCUUAUCUUAGCGGCGGACGGGUGAGUAAUGCUUAGGAAUCUGCCUAUUAGUGGGGGACAACAUUCCGAAAGGAAUGCUAAUACCGCAUACGCCCUACGGGGGAAAGCAGGGGAUCUUCGGACCUUGCGCUAAUAGAUGAGCCUAAGUCGGAUUAGCUAGUUGGUGGGGUAAAGGCCUACCAAGGCGACGAUCUGUAGCGGGUCUGAGAGGAUGAUCCGACACACUGGGACUGGAACACGGCCCAGACUCCUGCGGGAGGCAGCAGUGGGGAAUAUUGGACAAUGGGCGGAAGCCUGAUCCAGCCAUGCCGCGUGUGUGAAGAAGGCCUUUUGGUUGUGAAGCACUUUAAGCGAGGAGGAGGCUACCUGGAUUAAUACUCUAGGAUAGUGGACGUUACUCGCAGAAUAAGCACCGGCUAACUCUGUGCCAGCCGCCGCAGUAACAC